UUCGGUACAUCGGUGACAGGUGGUGCAUGGUUGUCGUCAGCUCGUGUCGUGAGAUGUUGGGUUAAGUCCCGCAACGAGCGCAACCCCUAUUGUUAGUUGCCAUCAUUCAGUUGGGCACUCUAGCGAGACUGCCGGUAAUAAACCGGAGGAAGGUGGGGAUGACGUCAAAUCAUCAUGCCCCUCAUGACCUGGGCUACACACGUGCUACAAUGGUUGGUACAACGAGUUGCGAGUCGGUGACGGCGAGCUAAUCUCUUAAAGCCAAUCUCAGUUCGGAUUGUAGGCUGCAACUCGCCUACAUGAAGUCGGAAUCGCUAGUAAUCGCGGAUCAGCACGCCGCGGUGAAUACGUUCCCGGGCCUU
rnacentral:rRNA from 1 species